GACGAACGCUGGCGGCGUGCCUAAUACAUGCAAGUCGAACGCUGAAGGAGGAGCUUGCUUCUCUGGAUGAGUUGCGAACGGGUGAGUAACGCGUAGGUAACCUGCCUGGUAGCGGGGGAUAACUAUUGGAAACGAUAGCUAAUACCGCAUAAGAGUAGAUGUUGCAUGACAUUUGCUUAAAAGGUGCAAUUGCAUCACUACCAGAUGGACCUGCGUUGUAUUAGCUAGUUGGUGGGGUAACGGCUUACCAAGGCGACGAUACAUAGCCGACCUGAGAGGGUGAUCGGCCACACUGGGACUGAGACACGGCCCAGACUCCUACGGGAGGCAGCAGUAGGGAAUCUUCGGCAAUGGACGGAAGUCUGGACGAGAAACGCCGCGGGAGUGAAGAAGGUUUUCGGAUCGUAAAGCUCUGUUGUAAGAGAAGAACGGGUGUGAGAGUGGAAAGUUCACACUGUGACGGUAUCUGACCAGAAAGGGACGGCUAACUACGUG
rnacentral:rRNA from 1 species